GACGUAGGGCGCGAGCGUUGUCCGGAUUUAUUGGGCGUAAAGAGCUCGUAGGCGGCUUGUUGCGUCGACCGUGAAAACCCGCGGCUUAACUGCGGGCUUGCGGUUGAUACGGGCGGGCUGGAGUUCGGUGAGGGGAGACUGGAAUUCCUGGUGUAGCGGUGAAAUGCGCAGAUAUCAGGAAGAACACCAAUGGCGAAGGCAGCUCUCUGGGACGGUACUGACACUGAGACGCGAAAGCGUGGGGAGCGAACAAGG
rnacentral:rRNA from 1 species